AGCCCGGAGCCUGCAGCCCAGCCCCACCCAGACCCAUGGCUGGACCUGCCACCCAGAGCCCCAUGAAGCUGAUGGGUGAGUGUCUUGGCCCAGGAUGGGAGAGCCGCCUGCCCUGGCAUGGGAGGGAGGCUGGUGUGACAGAGGGGCUGGGGAUCCCCGUUCUGGGAAUGGGGAUUAAAGGCACCCAGUGUCCCCGAGAGGGCCUCAGGUGGUAGGGAACAGCAUGUCUCCUGAGCCCGCUCUGUCCCCAGCCCUGCAGCUGCUGCUGUGGCACAGUGCACUCUGGACAGUGCAGGAAGCCACCCCCCUGGGCCCUGCCAGCUCCCUGCCCCAGAGCUUCCUGCUCAAGUGCUUAGAGCAAGUGAGGAAGAUCCAGGGCGAUGGCGCAGCGCUCCAGGAGAAGCUGGUGAGUGAGUGUGCCACCUACAAGCUGUGCCACCCCGAGGAGCUGGUGCUGCUCGGACACUCUCUGGGCAUCCCCUGGGCUCCCCUGAGCAGCUGCCCCAGCCAGGCCCUGCAGCUGGCAGGCUGCUUGAGCCAACUCCAUAGCGGCCUUUUCCUCUACCAGGGGCUCCUGCAGGCCCUGGAAGGGAUCUCCCCCGAGUUGGGUCCCACCUUGGACACACUGCAGCUGGACGUCGCCGACUUUGCCACCACCAUCUGGCAGCAGAUGGAAGAACUGGGAAUGGCCCCUGCCCUGCAGCCCACCCAGGGUGCCAUGCCGGCCUUCGCCUCUGCUUUCCAGCGCCGGGCAGGAGGGGUCCUGGUUGCCUCCCAUCUGCAGAGCUUCCUGGAGGUGUCGUACCGCGUUCUACGCCACCUUGCCCAGCCCUGAGCCAAGCCCUCCCCAUCCCAUGUAUUUAUCUCUAUUUAAUAUUUAUGUCUAUUUAAGCCUCAUAUUUAAAGACAGGGAAGAGCAGAACGGAGCCCCAGGCCUCUGUGUCCUUCCCUGCAUUUCUGAGUUUCAUUCUCCUGCCUGUAGCAGUGAGAAAAAGCUCCUGUCCUCCCAUCCCCUGGACUGGGAGGUAGAUAGGUAAAUACCAAGUAUUUAUUACUAUGACUGCUCCCCAGCCCUGGCUCUGCAAUGGGCACUGGGAUGAGCCGCUGUGAGCCCCUGGUCCUGAGGGUCCCCACCUGGGACCCUUGAGAGUAUCAGGUCUCCCACGUGGGAGACAAGAAAUCCCUGUUUAAUAUUUAAACAGCAGUGUUCCCCAUCUGGGUCCUUGCACCCCUCACUCUGGCCUCAGCCGACUGCACAGCGGCCCCUGCAUCCCCUUGGCUGUGAGGCCCCUGGACAAGCAGAGGUGGCCAGAGCUGGGAGGCAUGGCCCUGGGGUCCCACGAAUUUGCUGGGGAAUCUCGUUUUUCUUCUUAAGACUUUUGGGACAUGGUUUGACUCCCGAACAUCACCGACGCGUCUCCUGUUUUUCUGGGUGGCCUCGGGACACCUGCCCUGCCCCCACGAGGGUCAGGACUGUGACUCUUUUUAGGGCCAGGCAGGUGCCUGGACAUUUGCCUUGCUGGACGGGGACUGGGGAUGUGGGAGGGAGCAGACAGGAGGAAUCAUGUCAGGCCUGUGUGUGAAAGGAAGCUCCACUGUCACCCUCCACCUCUUCACCCCCCACUCACCAGUGUCCCCUCCACUGUCACAUUGUAACUGAACUUCAGGAUAAUAAAGUGUUUGCCUCCA